rnacentral:rRNA from 1 species
AUUGAACGCUGGCGGCAGGCCUAACACAUGCAAGUCGGGCGAGCCGCGGACGGGUGCGUAAUGUAUGAGGAUCUGCCUGAUGGAGGGGGAUAACUACUGAAAACGGUAGCUAAUACCUCAUACCCUCAGAUGAACCCUUAUGGGAUUAGCUUGUAGGUAAGGUAACGGCUUACCUAGUCGACGAUCCCUAGCUGGUCUGAGUGGAUGAUGAACAACACUGGGACUGUGACGCGGCGCAGACGCGUACGUGAGGCAUGAGGGGGGAAUAUUGCGCAAUGAGCGGAAGCGUGAAGCAGCCAUUGGGGGUGUAUGAAGAGGGGCUUCGCGUUGUAAAGUACUUUAAGUCGCGAGGCGUUACCGAAAGAAGAAGCACCGGCUAACUCCGUGCCAGCAGCCGCGGGAAUAC